AAGUCGUAACAAGGUUUCCGUAGGUGAACCUGCGGUUGGAUCAUUACUGAAAGUAGUGUUAGUGCCUUCACGGGUCUAGCACAAUGGCUUCGGCCAUUAACCCCUGUGAGACUGUUUAUUGACUUUGGGUUGUUGCCCUUUUAAUCGAGGGUGAUGGCCCAAUAAAUCUAUUAAACUUGAUCUUAUAAGUCUUAUCUUGUUUGAAAAAGAAACAACUUUUGACAACGGAUCUCUAGGCUCUC
rnacentral:misc_RNA from 1 species